rnacentral:lncRNA from 1 species
AAGCAGGCCAUGACUAAGACCCCAAGGAUGAAGAAUGGAGAGCCCUGACCGUCCUCCUGGCCUCCAGUCAUUUCCCCACUGAAGAUGGCCGUACCCUCUAGCCUGGGAGGACCAUGGCCCAACAAUGGCAGUGGGAGAGAAGAUGACUCUGUGGAGGACACUCUCCGUUAUCUGUGAUGACAUACACCAGCCCCCGAACAAUUUAACCUCAAGCUGCCCUCUGCAAGACUUCGGUAGCACUGGACUUCCCUCAUUCCUGGAGUGCCAGCACAGGAGGAGGCACCAGCCAAGCUCAUGGUAUACCUACAGCGCUUCAGGCCUCUGGACUAUCAGCGCCUGCUAGAAGCAGCCAGUUCUGGUGAGGCCACAGGGGACUCAGCAUCCUGACAACAGCGUUCACUUUCCAAAAGGGAAGGUAACUCUGAAGCCGCCAUUCACAUCCGGACCCACGGUGCUCCUUUCCCUUACAACGGAGCCACUUUCCCCUCCAGCUCUGCCUGGUCUUUCGCCCACUCUGAGCUAUCCUUCCUGGAGCCCUCCCUGGCUGCUUCCCUCAUCCGUCAGAUGCAAUCUGUGGGCCGCCCCUCUCCCCUGGCCGCUAAGCAGCCUCCAUUGAUUUCCGCUCGUGUUUAUAGGAUUUCCACUUAGCCGUGAUCAGUAGUUAAGCACAGGAAAAUCCCUUGCCACCCCCCCCUCCCUUGGUCGAUGCCAUUGAUUCUGCCAGAGGCUCUGAAGCCGCCUUACAGCUGAGUUAGAGAUGAGGGGAAACAGCGGGGAUUUCCCUGCCCUGGG